AGUGAACGCUGGCGGUAGGCCUAACACAUGCAAGUCGAACGGCAGCACAGUAAGAGCUUGCUCUUACGGGUGGCGAGUGGCGGACGGGUGAGGAAUACAUCGGAAUCUACUUUUUCGUGGGGGAUAACGUAGGGAAACUUACGCUAAUGCCGCAUACGACCUACGGGUGAAAGCAGGGGAUCUUCGGACCUUGCGCGAUUGAAUGAGCCGAUGUCGGAUUAGCUAGUUGGCGGGGUAAAGGCCCACCAAGGCGACGAUCCGUAGCUGGUCUGAGAGGAUGAUCAGCCACACUGGAACUGAGACACGGUCCAGACUCCUACGGGAGGCGGCAGUGGGGAAUAUUGGACAAUGGGCGCAAGCCUGAUCCAGCCAUACCGCGUGGGUGAAGAAGGCCUUCGGGUUGUAAAGCCCUUUUGUUGGGAAAGAAAAGCAGCAGGUUAAUACCCCGCUGUUCUGACGGUACCCAAAGAAUAAGCACCGGCUAACUUCGUG
rnacentral:rRNA from 1 species